UGAACCAGCCAAGUAGCGUGAAGGAUGACUGCCCUAUGGGUUGUAAACUUCUUUUAUAAAGGAAUAAAGUCGGGUAUGGAUACCCGUUUGCAUGUACUUUAUGAAUAAGGAUCGGCUAACUCCGUGCCAGCAGCCGCGGUAAUACGGAGGAUCCGAGCGUUAUCCGGAUUUAUUGGGUUUAAAGGGAGCGUAGAUGGAUGUUUAAGUCAGUUGUGAAAGUUUGCGGCUCAACCGUAAAAUUGCAGUUGAUACUGGAUAUCUUGAGUGCAGUUGAGGCAGGCGGAAUUCGUGGUGUAGCGGUGAAAUGCUUAGAUAUCACGAAGAACUCCGAUUGCGAAGGCAGCCUGCUAAGCUGCAACUGACAUUGAGGCUCGAAAGUGUGGGUAUCAAACAGGAUUAGAUACCCUGGUAGUCCACACGGUAAACGAUGAAUACUCGCUGUUUGCGAUAUACGGCAAGCGGCCAAGCGAAAGCGUUAAGUAUUCCACCUGGGGAGUACGCCGGCAACGGUGAAACUCAAAGGAAUUGACGGGGGCCCGCACAAGCGGAGGAACAUGUGGUUUAAUUCGAUGAUACGCGAGGAACCUUACCCGGGCUUAAAUUGCAGAUGAAUUACGGUGAAAGCCGUAAGCCGCAAGGCAUCUGUGAAGGUGCUGCAUGGUUGUCGUCAGCUCGUGCCGUGAGGUGUCGGCUUAAGUGCCAUAACGAGCGCAACCCUUGUUGUCAGUUACUAACAGGUUCCGCUGAGGACUCUGACAAGACUGCCAUCGUAAGAUGUGAGGAAGGUGGGGAUGACGUCAAAUCAGCACGGCCCUUACGUCCGGGGCUACACACGUGUUACAAUGGGGGGUACAGAGGGCCGCUACCACGCGAGUGGAUGCCAAUCCCCAAAACCUCUCUCAGUUCGGACUGGAGUCUGCAACCCGACUCCACGAAGCUGGAUUCGCUAGUAAUCGCGCAUCAGCCAUGGCGCGGUGAAUACGUUCCCGGGCCUUGUACACACCGCCCGUCAAGCCAUGAAAGCCGGGGGUACCUGAAGUACGUAACCGCAAGGAGCGUCCUAGGGUAAAACUGGUAAUUGGGGCUAAGUCGUAACAAGGUAGCCGUACCGGAAGGUGCGGCUG
rnacentral:rRNA from 1 species